AACGAACGCUGGCGGCAGGCCUAACACAUGCAAGUCGAGCGCGCCCUUCGGGGUGAGCGGCGGACGGGUGAGUAACGCGUGGGAACGUGCCCUUUUCUACGGAAUAGCCUCGGGAAACUGAGAGUAAUACCGUAUACGCCCUUUGGGGGAAAGAUUUAUCGGAAAAGGAUCGGCCCGCGUUGGAUUAGGUAGUUGGUGGGGUAAUGGCCUACCAAGCCGACGAUCCAUUGCUGGUUUGAGAGGAUGAUCAGCCACACUGGGACUGAGACACGGCCCAGACUCCUACGGGAGGCAGCAGUGGGGAAUCUUAGACAAUGGGGGCAACCCUGAUCUAGCCAUGCCGCGUGAGUGAUGAAGGCCUUAGGGUUGUAAAGCUCUUUCAGCUGGGAAGAUAAUGACGGUACCAGCAGAAGAAGCCCCGGCUAACUCCGUG
rnacentral:rRNA from 1 species